GGGGGUGUAGCUCAGUGGUAGAGCACUUGCCCAGUACACAUGAGGGCCUGGGUUCAAUUCCCAGCACUGCAA
rnacentral:tRNA from 1 species